AGGGGAGUGAAAAAGAACCUGAAACCGUGUACGUACAAGCAGUGGGAGCACGCUUAGGCGUGUGACUGCGUACCUUUUGUAUAAUGGGUCAGCGACUUAUAUUCUGUAGCAAGGUUAACCGAAUAGGGGAGCCGAAGGGAAACCGAGUCUUAACUGGGCGUUAAGUUGCAGGGUAUAGACCCGAAACCCGGUGAUCUAGCCAUGGGCAGGUUGAAGGUUGGGUAACACUAACUGGAGGACCGAACCGACUAAUGUUGAAAAAUUAGCGGAUGACUUGUGGCUGGGGGUGAAAGGCCAAUCAAACCGGGAGAUAGCUGGUUCUCCCCGAAAGCUAUUUAGGUAGCGCCUCGUGAAUUCAUCUCCGGGGGUAGAGCACUGUUUCGGCAAGGGGGUCAUCCCGACUUACCAACCCGAUGCAAACUGCGAAUACCGGAGAAUGUUAUCACGGGAGACACACGGCGGGUGCUAACGUCCGUCGUGAAGAGGGAAACAACCCAGACCGCCAGCUAAGGUCCCAAAGUCAUGGUUAAGUGGGAAACGAUGUGGGAAGGCCCAGACAGCCAGGAUGUUGGCUUAGAAGCAGCCAUCAUUUAAAGAAAGCGUAAUAGCUCACUGGUCGAGUCGGCCUGCGCGGAAGAUGUAACGGGGCUAAACCAUGCACCGAAGCUGCGGCAGCGACGCUGAUGCGUUGUUGGGUAGGGGAGCGUUCUGUAAGCCUGCGAAGGUGUGCUGUGAGGCAUGCUGGAGGUAUCAGAAGUGCGAAUGCUGACAUAAGUAACGAUAAAGCGGGUGAAAAGCCCGCUCGCCGGAAGACCAAGGGUUCCUGUCCAACGUUAAUCGGGGCAGGGUGAGUCGACCCCUAAGGCGAGGCCGAAAGGCGUAGUCGAUGGGAAACAGGUUAAUAUUCCUGUACUUGGUGUUACUGCGAAGGGGGGACGGAGAAGGCUAUGUUGGCCGGGCGACGGUUGUCCCGGUUUAAGCGUGUAGGCUGGUUUUCCAGGCAAAUCCGGAAAAUCAAGGCUGAGGCGUGAUGACGAGGCACUACGGUGCUGAAGCAACAAAUGCCCUGCUUCCAGGAAAAGCCUCUAAGCAUCAGGUAACAUCAAAUCGUACCCCAAACCGACACAGGUGGUCAGGUAGAGAAUACCAAGGCGCUUGAGAGAACUCGGGUGAAGGAACUAGGCAAAAUGGUGCCGUAACUUCGGGAGAAGGCACGCUGAUAUGUAGGUGAAGUCCCUCGCGGAUGGAGCUGAAAUCAGUCGAAGAUACCAGCUGGCUGCAACUGUUUAUUAAAAACACAGCACUGUGCAAACACGAAAGUGGACGUAUACGGUGUGACGCCUGCCCGGUGCCGGAAGGUUAAUUGAUGGGGUUAGCGCAAGCGAAGCUCUUGAUCGAAGCCCCGGUAAACGGCGGCCGUAACUAUAACGGUCCUAAGGUAGCGAAAUUCCUUGUCGGGUAAGUUCCGACCUGCACGAAUGGCGUAAUGAUGGCCAGGCUGUCUCCACCCGAGACUCAGUGAAAUUGAACUCGCUGUGAAGAUGCAGUGUACCCGCGGCAAGACGGAAAGACCCCGUGAACCUUUACUAUAGCUUGACACUGAACAUUGAGCCUUGAUGUGUAGGAUAGGUGGGAGGCUUUGAAGUGUGGACGCCAGUCUGCAUGGAGCCGACCUUGAAAUACCACCCUUUAAUGUUU
rnacentral:rRNA from 1 species